GCCUCGGUGGUGUAGUGGUCAAGACCCUCGCCUGAUAAACAGGAGGGCAUGGGUUCAAUCCCAGCCAAGGCA
rfam:Asian citrus Psyllid, Diaphorina citri - Florida Strain, whole genome shotgun sequence.